UGGAUAGAAACAACUGUGACAUCCCUUUGAAUACACCAAAAGAUAUAUUAUGGUAUCCCCUCAAUUAUCUUUGCUCUUCUGUAAAGAGAUCUUGUACCUAUCCAGUGCAUCCGACAAUCAACAUGAGCACGAAUCUAUCGAGUGAGCAAGUACCCUCCUUCAACAUGGCCGUCUAAGAAGUUCUGCAUCUCCCCCAUAAUGCACUCGAAGAUUCGGCUUCAAUAGACCGGCGUGUUCUAUAAUUCGCUCGACCCUCUGGGCGUCCGAUGGUUGGCAGCUGCAAAAAAAUUGUGAUCUUCACUCAUUUGCAACGUCUUCUCCAUGAGCUGUGAGCAACAUGUAUCGUCUGUAUCGUACAAGGAACCUGAAAAGAGCGAUUCGUUCGCCGACGUUCUUUCUUUUCACACGUUUUUAGACGGUUUGUGCUUGAAGCGAAGUUCACUUAACUUGGAGGCACAAGUGAAGCUUUACUAUAGAUUUUUCACGCGGUCUGCACUAAUAUUCACGAUCGGAGCUUCAUCUACGAAAAUUUUCUUUCGUCACCUAUCGUGAUCAUUUUUAGGCAGUGGAUGACUGCGUAUGCCACGUAUUUCACGCGAGCUGUCCCUUUAGAGUUAAUACGCAAAACUCGAUCAGAUUUCGGUGGGCAAUUCUAUGACACCACAGCUUAUCAAGGCAUAACUACUACGUUGCUGUCGCCACUGAUACCCGUAUCUGUCGUGUACGAAUUAAGUAAUCUGACAUAAGUAGUACAAAUAUGGCCUAUUACAACGAAACAUCUAGAGAGGACCUAGUAGCUCCAUAACCGAUGUAUCGCAGACUCGUAUCGACUCAUCCAGAUUAGCAUUUCUACUACAAAACGCACGCGUACCAACAAAAUUCCCCUUUCUCUGGAAACGAUUGCCGCCUCGCCGUAGGUAAAUGAAAAAUUCGCCUUCGUUCAGAUGCAGUCAUCAUAUUAAUACGGACACCACGAUACGACUCAUGCGACUUCGGUAAUGCGGACACUGUUGCGAGCGCACAGUAUAAAAUGUAACUGAAACAGUGGCCAGAGUUUGGUGUGGACUGUGGAUAUUGUAUCUUUGCUAAACAACUUUCGCUAAGGCCCAACAAUUUGUUAGCGUCCCAUCACUCACAGCCAAGCCGGCAAAUGCCCAUCUUUGGACAAUGUAACGAAAAAGCCCGACUGCAGGAGUUGAUAAAGGAUUGGGUCAAUCGCUCGGUUAUUAUCGGUUCAAGGCACUAAAGAUGCAAGGGGACACGAUAACUGUGUAAGAGAAAGGCAUGGAUUUAUAAACACCAGGUACUCAAUGUAUCAUAAUAGUGGUCAUAAUUAGAUAAAA